UUAACUAUUAUAUAGUACUCAGACAUCACUAGAAUUCAGAGUUUGGUCCUCUGGCAGGCACAUGUAGGCAAUGCCCACAGGGUCAAGACCACGGCCUGCCAAAGCAACAAGAGUAUAUAGACACGGAUGGGGCAUACCAUGAAGGUAUCCUUAUGUUUAAUGAUCCUUCCGCAGGUUCACCUACGGAAA
rnacentral:misc_RNA from 1 species